UCUUUCUUCUCCAUCCCGAUUUUCAUUUUUUUUCUUAUUUUCUUUUACUCUUUUUCUUCCUCAGUCACAAACUAGUUUCUUUAAAUCAUAAACUAAUAAGAAGGGUAUAUAUUCUCUAAGCAAAUUUUAUCAUAUUUUCACAAGUUCUUUGAUAAAAUUUUUGAGUUAGGAUUUGUAUUCUAAGAAAGGAGAAGGUACCCAUCUUUUGGAAGUUGUUUAUUGAAACUCUUUGAGGAUUAAGAGGAGAGAGCUAUUUGUUAGAUGGAGCCACUCAUAAGGGAAAGGUCACCAAUAGGAGGAAAUGACUAUCAAUGAGAUGAAGCCGCCUAUUGGUUUUCAAGAAUUUAUAUUUUUACUUGUUUGAUUUUCUAUGAUAAUUAUUAAGGUUGCUCAUUUUGAUUUCACUUUGAAUUUUAAAUAUUUCUAUAUGAAGAGCUAAAUUAUAAGUUUAAUGAUUUUAUCAUUUGUAUACUUUAUUUGAGAAUUAUCCAUAUUUCAAAUAGCAUUGUUUAACAUAAUUGUCACAAGAUUGUAAAAUAAUUAUUCGUGUCUUUUUGUGUUUCACUACUAGUUGGUGGUGAUUAUGAUAUCCUCA